rnacentral:rRNA from 1 species
AGAUAGAGGAGUGCUCGAAGAGAGCCGUAACACAGGUGCUGCAUGGCUGUCGUCAGCUCGUGUCGUGAGAUGUUGGGUUAAGUCCCGCAACGAGCGCAACCCUUGUCAUUAGUUGCUACAUUCAGUUGGGCACUCUAAUGAGACUGCCGGUGACAAACCGGAGGAAGGUGGGGAUGACGUCAAGUCCUCAUGGCCCUUAUAGGUGGGGCUACACACGUCAUACAAUGGAUGGUACAAAGGGUCGCCAACCCGCGAGGGGGAGCCAAUCCCAUAAAGCCAUUCGUAGUCCGGAUCGCAGUCUGCAACUCGACUGCGUGAAGUCGGAAUCGCUAGUAAUCGUGGAUCAGAAUGUCACGGUGAAUACGUUCCCGGGUCUU